UCAAUUUUAUAUUCUCUAGUGAAAAAUCGUUCAGUUUGCUUGUUCUUUUCACUGGCAUUUUAUAUUGUGCAUAUUCGGCUCACGGACUACCGUGGCGUGGCGUGGAGGACUUGAAAAUCUUGUUUGUCUAAUAGUGUAUUUUCAAGAAUUAUUUUGUCAAAAUAAGUCGUAUUAAAUGCACAAGCCGAACAAACAAAAUUAGUAUUUUUUGCAUAAUUCAAUAACAAUGUCGCG
rnacentral:lncRNA from 1 species